rnacentral:lncRNA from 1 species
UGCCAAUCAACAAACAUAUUUUCGUAGCUCAGUGGUUUGUACACUUCCUGGGAGCCACGAGCGUGCGGGUUCGAGUCCUCCCAUCUGCGCUUUUGCUGGGGUGCGAGCAGGUGCCCUAUCGGCUGGGGCGCGGCCUGUUGGGCUGAGUAUGCCAGAUGGGCGCGAACAGGCGCCCUUUCAGCUAGGGCGUGGCCUGCUGGGCCGAGCGUCUGGUGGCCUAUCUUGAAGAAAAAUUAAACAGGGCAGAGGUAAAUAAUAGAAAAAAGAAAAAAUCUGACCACG